UACAGAGGGUGCAAGCGUUGUUCGGAAUUACUGGGCGUAAAGCGCACGUAGGCGGGUUGCCAAGUCGGGGGUGAAAUCCUGGAGCUCAACUCCAGAACUGCCUUCGAUACUGGCGAUCUUGGAGUCCGGGAGAGGUGAGUGGAACUGCGAGUGUAGAGGUGAAAUGCGUAGAUAUGCGCAAGAACACCAGUGGCGAAGGCGGCUCACUGGCCCGGUACUGACGCUGAGGUGCGAAAGCGUGGGGAGCAAACAGG
rnacentral:rRNA from 1 species